UUAAGCUACAAAGGGUGCGCGGUGAAUGACUAGGGACAAGUUGCCGAUGAAGGACGUGUAAGCGACGAAACGUCACGGGAAGCUGCACAGAAGCGAUGAUCCGUGAAUAUCCGAAUGGGGAAACCCGGCGGGGCAAUACCCCGUCGCCUCUACCUGAACACAUAGGGUAGUGUGCGGGCACCAGGUGAACUGAAACAUCUAAGUAACCUGAGGAAAAGAACUCGAAGAGACUCCGUAAGUAGCGGCGAGCGAAAGCGGAAGAGCCUAAACCAGUGGGCUUGCCUACUGGGGUCGUGGGGCAUUCACAAACUUCCUCCAAUCAAGGCCUUGAGCUUUGAUUGGUGGAGUUUGAAAAGAAGAUCGUGUUUUGGUUAGGAGAACAGGCCUGGAAGGGUCGGCCGUAGAGGGUGACAGCCCCGUAUUCCAAAAACCAAACCGAAUUCAGAAUGUACCCGAGUAACACGGAGCACGAGGAAUUCCGUGUGAAUCUGUCCGGACCACCGGAUAAGGCUAAGUACAACUUGUCACCGAUAGUGAAUCCAGUACCGUGAGGGAAAGUUGAAAAGUACGCCGGGAGGCGAGUGAAAUAGAUCCUGAAACCGCGAUACCUACAAGCAGUCAAAGCACCAGGUCCGGAGCAAUCCGGUCAAGUGUGAUGGCGUGCCUUUUGCAGAAUGAGUCUGCGAGUUAAUAGUGCUGGCAAGGUUAAGGCUUUAAGAGCCGGAGCCGGAGGGAAACCGAGUCCGAAUAGGGCGUCAAGUCAGUAUUAUUAGACCCGAAACUGCGUGAUCUAGCCAUGGCCAGGCUGAAGUGUUGGUAACACAACAUGGAGGGCCGAACUCAUUGACGUUGAAAAGUCUCGGGAUGAGCUGUGGUUAGUCCGGUGAAAUGCCAAUCGAACGCAGAGAUAGCUGGUUCUCCCCGAAAUGCAUUGAGGUGCAGCGUUACGUGUUUUCAUACGGGGGUAGAGCACUGAAUGGGCUAGGGGGCCUACCAGCUUACUGAACCCAAAUAAACUCCGAAUACCGUAUGAUUAGCGUAGCAGUGAGACUGCGAGGGAUAAGCCCCGUGGUCAAAAGGAAAAAAGUCCAGAUCGUCAGCUAAGGGCCCUAAACGGAAGCUAAGUGUGAAACGAUGUGAAUUCGCGUAAACAGCCAGGAGGUUGGCUUGGAAGCAGCCACCCUUUAAAAAGUGCGUAAUAGCUUACUGGCCGAAUGUGAAUUUGCGCGGAAAAUGUAAGGGGGCUUAAGCUUCCUCCCGAAGCUACGGGAUCCCACAAGAGUGGUGAUCGGUAGGGGAGCGUCGUAUAUGCGGUGAAGCCAAAGCGGAAGCCUUGGUGGAGCGUAUUCGAGUGAGAAUGCAGACAUGAGUAGCGAUAACAGGGGUGAGAAUCCCCUGCGCCGAAAACCUAAGGUUUCUCCGGCCAUGUUCGUCAGACGGAGGUUAGGCGGUCCCUAAGGCCAGGCCAGAAGGCGUAGCCGAUGGACAUCGGGUAGACAUUCCCGACCCAGGUGCAAGUGCGAUGGAGGGACGCCUCUUAAUGUUUCAUCCCACACCGUUGGUUGUUGUGGGCUACCGGGAUAACCCAGCUGUUUAAUAGAUGGCUUUUCAAAGGGUGGGGCCGGGGGGAAGGGAAUUCUUCGGAUGAACCGAACUGAAACAAAGGGGGGCCGAGAAAAGCUUCUAAGCAUAACUUGUAUCUGACCGUACUGUAAACCGACACAGGUAGGUGAGUCGAGGAGACUCAGGCGUUCGAGAGAACUCUCGUUAAGGAACUAGGCAAAUGGGCCCCGUAACUUUGGAAUAAGGGGCGCCCCGCAAGGGGCCGCAGCAAAGCAUCCCAGGCGACUGUUUACCAAAAACACAGGUCUCUGCUAAGGCGAAAGCCGAUGUAUAGGGGCUGACGCCUGCCCAAUGCUCGUAGAUUAAUCGGAGAUGUCAGGGUAACCGAAGCAUUGAAGUGAAGUCCGAGUGAAUGGCGGCCGUAACUCUAACGGUCCUAAGGUAGCGAAAUUCCUUGUCGGGUAAGUUCCGACCUGCACGAAUGGCGUAACGACGGCCACACUGUCUCCUCCUGAGACGCAGCGAAGUUGAA
rnacentral:rRNA from 1 species